UCAGCGGCAGACGGGUGAGUAACACGUAGAUAACCUACCCUCAAGACGGGGAUAACCGGUGGAAACAGCGGCUAAUACCCGAUAGGCUCACGUGAUCGGGAGGUCAAGUGAGGAAAGGCUGCGGUGCUUGAGGAGGGGUCUGCGGCCCAUCAGCUAGUUGGUGAGGUAACGGCUCACCAAGGCGAAGACGGGUAGGGGGUGUGAGAGCACGACCCCCCACAAUGGGACUGCGACACGGCCCAUACUCCUACGGGAGGCAGCAGCAGGGAAUAUUGCGCAAUGGACGGAAGUCAGACGCAGCGACGCCGCGUGGGUGAGGAAGGCCUUCGGGUUGUAAAGCCCUUUUCUGGAGGGCGAGGCAGGACGGUACUCCAGGAAAUAAGCGUCGGCUAACUACGUGCCAGCAGCCGCGGUAAGGCGUAAGACGCAAGCGUUAUCCGGAUUUACUGGGCGUAAAGCGCCUGUAGGCGGCGGGAUAAGUCGGAUGUGAAAGCCCCGUGCUCAACGCGGGGAAGCCAUUCGAUACUGUCUGGCUAGAGAGCGGGAGAGGGAAAACGGAAUUUCUGGUGUAGCGGUAAAAUGCGCAGAGAUCAGAAGGAACACCGAUGGCGAAGGCAGUUUCCUAGGCCGUAUCUGACGCUGAGAGGCGAAAGCUAGGGGAGCGAACAGGAUUAGAGACCCUGGUAGUCCUAGCUGUAAACGCUGGAUGCUAGGUGUGGGCCAGAGCGGUCCGUGCCGGAGUUAACGCGAUAAGCAUCCCGCCUGGGGAGUACGGCCGCAAGGCUAAAACUCAAACGAAUUGACGGGGACCCGCACAAGCAGCGGAGCGUGUGGUUUAAUUCGAUGCUACACGCAGAACCUUACCUGGGCUUGACAUGUAGGUGGUAGUGAAGUGAAAGCGGAGCGACCCUUCGGGGAGCCUACACAGGUGCUGCAUGGCUGUCGUCAGCUCGUGCCGUGAGGUGUCGGGUUAAGUCCCGUAACGAGCGCAACCCUUGUCCUUAGUUACAAGUGUCUAAGGAGACUGCCGGUGACAAACCGGAGGAAGGUGGGGAUGACGUCAAGUCAGCAUGGCCCUUAUGUCCAGGGCGACACACACGCUACAAUGGUCGGUACAAAGGGCAGCGCAGCCGCGAGGUGAAGCGAAUCCCACCAAAGCCGAUCCCAGUUCGGAUUGCAGGCUGCAACCCGCCUGCAUGAAGCCGGAGUUGCUAGUAACCGCGCGUCAGCCAUAGUGCGGUGAUACGUUCCCGGGUCUUGUACACACCGCCCGUCACGUCAUGGGAGUCGGUAACGCCUGAAGCCGGAAGUCUGACCCGCAAGGGAGGCGCCGUCGAAGGCGGG
rnacentral:rRNA from 1 species